GUUUUCUGUCUGAGAUUUUUUUUUGAUUUUUUUUUUUGAGCCCGAAAUCGACGUCGUAUUGGAGGUCAGAAAAUUUUAAAAUACAACCCACCCAACUUAAUCCUGAGUCACCGGGUUAAUUCGGUUCAGUCAUUGCCACUUCAAACCAGAAAACCGGACUGGACAGAUGGCUGAGUCGCCGGUUCAUCGGUUUGACCGUCCGGUCCGGUUUUGUGAACAAUUUUAGCGAUGGAGAGUACUUCCUUCGACCAAAUGAAUCGAUUGUAGAUGGGACGGAUAUUGAUGGUUCCGGUGGCUUAUGUGGCGAUAAGGAGGCUGAUUUUAAUCUGUUAGAGGAGGAGUUUCAAUUGCAGAUGGCUGUAGCUAUUAGCGCUUCUAAUGCUAAUGUCCGCAAGGGCCCUGAAUCUGCUCAGAUCGACGCCGCCAAGUAAGUAGAUGAGGCUCGGCUGCCCAGCUUUUGUCACCGACACUGAAGUCCUCGUCCAGUUUCAAUCGCUUCGUUAUUAGGUCCUGCAAGGUGUCUCAGAUUUGGAAUUAUAUCUUUUAGAGAAGUUUGAGGAUGUUGACUAUGAAAGAAGUGAUGAUGAUGUUUAUUUGAAGGCAAAAUCUGAGAAGUCUUCUCUGCCAA